GGCCGCUUGCUGGAAUGGUAGACAGACCGGACUUAAAAUCCGUUGCCCUCCGGGGCGUGUGGGUUCGAGUCCCACAGCGGCUACCA
rnacentral:tRNA from 1 species